GGUGGCUCAGUGGUAGAGUGCUUACCUUACAUGCAGGAGGUCCUGGGUUCGAUUCCCCAGCACCA
rnacentral:tRNA from 1 species